UACGGAGGGUGCAAGCGUUGUCCGGAAUUAUUGGGCGUAAAGGGCGCGUAGGCGGCCUGGCAAGUGGAAGGUGAAAUCCCUCGGCUUAACCGAGGAACUGCCCUCCAAACUGCUUGGCUUGAGUCCGGGAGAGGUGAGUGGAAUUCCCAGUGUAGCGGUGAAAUGCGUAGAUAUUGGGAGGAACACCAGUGGCGAAGGCGGCUCACUGGACCGGAACUGACGCUGAGGCGCGAAAGCGUGGGGAGCAAACGGG
rnacentral:rRNA from 1 species